rnacentral:rRNA from 1 species
AGAGCUUACGACGGAUACCUUGGUGUUCAGAAGCGAUGAAGGGCGUGGCUACCAACGAAAUGUUUCGGGGAACUGGAAGCAAGUUUUGAUCCGAAAAUACCCGAAUAAGGAAACUUCAAGAACUACCUCUUGAAUUCAUAAAGAGGAAAGAGCGAACCUAGUGAAUUGAAACAUCUUAGUAACUAGAGGAAAAGAAAGCAAAAGCGAUUCUCUUAGUAGCGGCGAGCGAAAUGGGAUUAGUCUAAACUCUAUUCAUUAAAUAGUAGAGGGUUGUGGGACAACAGAUAUUUGAUUGUGCGUGUUAGAUGAAGUAACUGGAAUAUUGCGCCAUAGAAGGUGAAAGCCCUGUAAUCGAAAACAUUACCAUUUGAAGUUGUAUCCCAAGUAGGAAGGGACACGUGAAACCCCUUUUGAAUUUGCGAGGACCACCUCGUAAGACUAAAUAUUCCUGAAUAACCGAUAGUGAACCAGUACCGUGAGGGAAAGGUGAAAAGAACCCCGGGAGGGGAGUGAAAUAGAACAUGAAAUCGUAAGUUUACAAGCAGUAGAAGAGCGACUUAACGCUCGACUUCGUGCCUGUUGAAGAAUGAGCUGGCGACUUGUAGGUUGUGGCAAGGUUAAGAUAAGAGAAUAUCGGAGCCAUAGUGAAAGCGAGCCUGAUAAGGGCUUUAAGUCAUAAUUUACAGACCCGAACCCGGAUGAUCUAACCAUGGCCAGUGUGAAGCUUAGGUAACACUAAGUGGAGGUACCAACCGACUGUUGUUGAAAAAACAGCGGAUGAGUUGUGGUUAGGGGUGAAAUUCCAAUCGAAUCCGGAGCUAGCUGGAUCUCCCCGAAAUGCGUUGAGGCGCAGCGGUUAAUGUUUCUUCUUAGGGGUAAAGCUACUGUUUUGGUGCGGGCUGCGAGAGCGGUACCAAAUCAAGGCAAACUCUGAAUACUAAGACGUUUAGUUAACCAGUGAGACAUUGGGGGAUAAGCUUCAAUGUCAAGAGGGAAACAGCCCAGAUUACUAGCUAAGGCCCCUAAAUAAUUACUAAGUGGUAAAGGAGGUGGGAUUGCAGAGACAAUCAGGAGGUUUGCCCAGAAGCAGCAAUCCUUUAAAGAGUGCGUAAUAGCUCACUGUUCGAGUGAUCCUGCGCCGAAAAUGACUGGGACUAAGUAAUUUGCCGAAGCUGUAAGAUGUCAAAACAUCGGUAGGGGAGCGUUCUACAUUAGUUUGAAGCGUUAACGAAAGUGGGCGUGGACGAAGUAGAAGUGAGAAUGUUAGCUUGAGUAGCGAAAACAUUGGUGAGAAUCCAAUGCCCCGAAAACCUAAGGGUUCCUCCGGAAGGCUCGUCCGCGGAGGGUGAGUCAGGUCCUAAGGUAAGGCUGAAAAGCGUAGUCGAUGGAUAACAGGUUAAUAUUCCUGUACUGUUUAUUGUUGGUAAAGGGGGACGGAGAAGGCUAGGUCGACCGAAUGUUGGUUAUCGGCUUAAGUAUUCGAGGUGUUGAGAAGCGGUGAAAACGUUUUGAGCUGAGAUAUGAAUAGGAGGUGCUAAGGCACUGAACCGACUGAUGUCAUACUUCCAAGAAAAGCCCUAACUACCAUAAGCAAUAAAUACCUGUACCCUAAACCGACACAGGUGGGUAAGUAGAGUAUACUAAGGGGCGCGAGAUAACUCUCUCUAAGGAACUCGGCAAAAUAGCCUCGUAACUUCGGGAGAAGAGGUACCCUUAAUGGGUUGCAAGAACCAGACGCUGGCGACUGUUUACCAAAAACACAGGUCUCCGCAAAGUCGUAAGACGAUAUAUGGGGGCUGACACCUGCCCAGUGCCGGAAGGUUAAGGAAGCUUGUUAGUCUUUGACGAAGCUCGCGACCGAAGCCCCGGUGAACGGCGGCCGUAACUAUAACGGUCCUAAGGUAGCGAAAUUCCUUGUCGGGUAAGUUCCGACCCGCACGAAAGGUGUAACGAUCUGCGUACUGUCUCGGAGAGAGACUCGGCGAAAUAGACUUGUCUGUGAAGAUGCGGACUACCUGCACCUGGACAGAAAGACCCUAUGAAGCUUUACUGUAUCUUGGAAUUGGGUUUGGUCUUUACUUGCGCAGGAUAGGUGGGAGGCUUUGAAGAUGAUCUUGCGGGAUCGUUGGAGCCACUGGUGAGAUACCACUCUUGUAAUGAUAAAAUCCUAACUUUGAACCGUUAUCCGGUCAGAGAACAGUUUCAGGUGGGCAGUUUGACUGGGGCGGUCGCCUCCUAAAAGGUAACGGAGGCGUGCAAAGGUUCC